rnacentral:misc_RNA from 1 species
AAACUCGUUUUGAAAUCGGGAAUGGCAGGCAUUCCAGGCGACAGGAUCUCUCUUAACUUGCAUAUGUUACAGAAAUUAUCCCGCUUGUAUGAAAUCUCUCUCAGCAAGCCCCCUGAUGGAUAGUUUGGGUUGGCCUUACAACAGAACUUGAUGGAGCCGGGGGGUCCCAGUCCUACCCAGGAGAGGAGGAGGAUGAAAUCCAACCGCCCACCUCGGGCCUGGCACCUCAAACUGAGGUGUCUCUCCCACGGACCCUCACAAACAAACACCCGGUCAUGUACCUCAACGAGUUAAAACGUAACCUGACAUACCAGCUGGUGUCUGAACAGGAAGUGGACAAAGAGAAACUCUACACCAUGUCCGUGGUGAUCGACGGGAGGGAGUUUAAUGGAACAGCCAAGAGUAAGAAGCUGGCCAAGAUGGAGGCGGCCAGGGUGGCUCUAGAGUCGCUGUAUAAUGCUGUGUAUGUGCCAGAUCUGGAAAAUCAAGUUAACCAAACUCAGGAGACAGCGGAAGUUCCUUGGGUCAAAGAUGAGUCUGGUAUAAAAACUGAAGAGGAAGAAGGGGAAGAAGAAAAGUCAGGCAUCAUGCUGGGAAAACGCAAGUUUCCGGAAAAUGGGACGCAGAUUAUUCUAAACAAGAAAAGAAAAAUACAGACUGCACCAGUCGCAAAAAAUGCCCUGAUGCAGCUCAAUGAGAUCAAACCUGGGCUUGAGUUUCAGUUUGUGGCUCAGUCUGGGCCAGUUCACGCCCCAACUUUCAUCAUGAGUGUAGAGGUCAAUGGGACAAAGUUUGAAGGUCAAGGACCCACCAAAAAAGCUGCUCGCCUGAGUGCAGCAGAGAAGGCCCUGAAGUCCUUUGUGCAAUUUCCAAAUGCCUCUGAGGCCCAUAAAGCCUUGGGGAGGCAAGUGGUUAAUGACGGGGACUUCACAUCGGACAAUGCAGAGGCUUCAAAUGACGUUCUGUUUAAUAACUUUGAAACUAAUUCAGAAAACGGCACCUCAUGUGAGAUUUUACCCAAAGACAAAAAUGGCAUGAACAAUUUGCCGAAGGCUAGAAAAUCUGUGGUGCCGUCUGUACCAGAUGGUAAGAAUCCUGUCAUGAUUCUGAACGAACUGAGGCCCAGUCUGAAGUAUGACUUUGUGAAAGAACACGGUGAAAGCCACGCCAAACAUUUUGUGAUGUCAGUGGUUGUGGAUGGGAUCAAGUUUGAAGGAUCUGGUCGAAACAAGAAGCUGGCUAAAUCCCGGGCCGCUCAGAUGGCUCUCACCAAACUGUUCAACCUGGACUUCUCCACACAUCCAGGCACUAAACCAGUACCCAAAGAAUCUCACUCCAAUGUUCCCCAGGAGCUGGCAGACUUAGUCUCACGGCUCGUCCUGGAAAAGUUCUGUGAACUGACGGACAAUCUGACCUCUCCGUACGCCCGGAGGAAGGUGCUAUCAGGGAUCGUCAUGACAACCAGUGACAGUGCAGAGAAUGCCACUGUGAUUUCCGUCUCCACGGGAACCAAGUGUAUUAAUGGAGAGUACAUGAGUGACCAGGGUCUAGCGGUCAACGACUGUCACGCCGAGGUCAUAGGUCGAAGGUCACUGAUGAGAUACCUGUACUUUCAGCUAGGAAAGCACUUAUCUGGGAAUCGACUAGAAAAGGAGUCUUCAAUAUUCCAGGAAAAGGAAGGAGGUGGCUUUAUGCUGAAACCCAACAUUCACUUUCACCUGUACAUCAGUACAUCUCCGUGCGGUGACUCGAGAAUUUUUUCUCCUGAGUCACUUCAUUGAGCCCGUCUACUUUGACAGCCUCAUUCUUGGUAGUUUGUAUCAUGGAGACCAUCUAUCUAGGGCUGUUUAUUCACGCAUAUCAAACAUAGAAAACAUCCCAUCCCCCUUCCGUCACAAUCAGCCAUUCAUGAGCGGAAUCAGCAACCCGGAGAGUCGUCAGCCACGAAAAGCUCCGAACUUCGCUGUCAACUGGUGCGUGGGUGACGCGGGUCUGGAGGUAAUUAACACGAUGACUGGUAAGACGGAGCAGGGGGCGUCCUCACAGGUGUGUAAACAGGCCUUCUUCAAACGAUUCCUACAGCUCUGUGGCAAAAUCCCCACCCUCACUGGUCAGUCGGUGACUCCCCUACCCAAGGUGUACGCUGAUGCUAAAGUCACAGUGAUGGAGUAUCAAACGGCAAAACAACAGAUGUAUCAAGCGUUCCAAAACGCUGGUCUAGGACGCUGGCUUAAGAAGCCUAUUGAACAAGAUCAUUUCUUUGUAUCACCGAGCUGAUAAAAAGUGUGUGUGUUAGAUAGUGAAUCUUCCAUGACCCCAAAUGUUCAACAUUUGUCAGACUUCAUUGGGUGUUUUUCGUCAUCCUGUUUGGUGUGUUAUAAUUGAGAGGGUCCACUGAGACCUUGUAGUGACUCUUACAGAAGAUGAGCAAGUGAGUUUUUGUGUCAGCUUGCUUCAUCAAACUUUUUUAUCAGACUUCAGUCAUCUACCAAUAAAUGUCAGAAAUGACCCAUGUGGCCAAUCCGAGCAUUCUCCAUUAGAUUCAGCAUUCCUGUUUGACAGUAGUGAUUGUGGAGGCUCAUCCUUUUUGCUGUAAUAUAAAUGCUUCCGAUUAAUUCUGAGGUUUAAGACUUCACAGGCAGAAAUUUGAGGGGGCAACUUCACAAGAAGUCGCUGUUUUUUCUUUUGAAUCCUGUAUCAUGUUAUUAGUAACUAAUUCUAGAAUUUAUUCCAUUAACUGUAAGAACUGAUUAUGUCCUUGAGAACUGAUCACUGCAUUUGAUGCUCUAGGAAUUAUUUACUUGAGAGGAACUAUUUAUAGACAAACGUUAAUUUUGUUUUAUGUGCGAGCCAGCUGGUUCCGAGGACCUAGUUUACCACUCCAAGUUGUCUCCCCUUGAUACAGAGUUUAACAAUCAAUAUGUAUUACGCGUCUGAAAAUUUGUUCUAUUUAUAUGUUUGUGUGAAUGUGUAUAUUUAUCAAUUUUUCAACCUUGUGAUGAGAUCAAUUCUACAUUUUGUUGUUAGGUAAUCACUCUUUUUUUUUUACCAUUUUGUGAAUGUUUUGAGUAUCAAAUGUCAUACCAAGAAAUGAAUGAUAUUUUUUAUUUGUCUACCAAAAGCAGUACAUGUUUUAUUAAGAUGUUGAGAAUGUAAUUGAAGUAAGAAAAAGUGAUUAUGAAAAUAAAAAAUGAUAUU